rnacentral:misc_RNA from 1 species
AACGCACCUUGCGCUCCUUGGUAUUCCGAGGAGCAUGCCUGUUUGAGUGUCAUUAAAUUCUCAACCUCACCAGUUUUGUUAUGAGACUGUGUAAGGCUUGGAUGUGGGGGUUUUUGCAGGCUGCCUCUGUGCGGUCUGCUCCCCUGAAAUGUAUUAGCGAGUUCACUAAGCUCCGUCUAUUGGUGUGAUAAUUAUCUACGCCGUGGAAUGGGUUUAGACUUGCUUCUAACCGUCUGCAAAGACAACUUUUGACAAUUUGACCUCAAAUCAGGUAGGACUACCCGCUGAACUUAA